rnacentral:rRNA from 1 species
GGCCGCGGGAAUUCGAUUCAGGCCUAACACAUGCAAGUAGAGCGAUUUACUUCGGUAAAGAGCGGCGGACGGGUGAGUAACGCGUGGGUAACCUGCCCUGUACACACGGAUAACAUACCGAAAGGUAUGCUAAUACGAGAUAAUAUGCUUUUAUCGCAUGGUAGAAGUAUCAAAGCUUUUGCGGUACAGGAUGGACCCGCGUCUGAUUAGCUAGUUGGUGAGGUAACGGCUCACCAAGGCGACGAUCAGUAGCCGACCUGAGAGGGUGAUCGGCCACAUUGGAACUGAGACACGGUCCAAACUCCUACGGGAGGCAGCAGUGGGGAAUAUUGCACAAUGGGCGAAAGCCUGAUGCAGCAACGCCGCGUGAGAAAUGGAGGCCUUCGGGUCGUAAAGCUCUGUCCUCAAGGAAGAUAAUGACGGUACUGA